rnacentral:sRNA from 1 species
UCCUGCCAUGAUGAUAACAGACUGAACCUCUGAACCUAUUCUAAAUGUGGUGUGACCAGCUGGCUCAAUCUGCUGCCUUGACAUCCUCACCAUGAUGUGCUGGACCUUGAACAUUCAGUCCAGAAGAAAUUUCAAGGCUCUGCUAAUCUGUCCCAAUCUGAGGAAACACCUGGAAGCCGCUGUGGACCAUCACCAGAAGUUCUUUGGUGAGUUUCUCUCUACGAAGUCACUGUAGA